AAGAACAGUAGCAUCAAGUCACGUCUAGAUUCUGUGCUCAAAACAUCAAAGUUUCCAUGGUAACACUGUGUCUGAUUGUGUGGCAUAUCACUACUAAAGGCGAUGAAGCCAUUCAUUUUUAAAAACUUCAGAUUUGACUAUAAUAAGCCAAUAUUUUGGAAUAUCGCAACAGCUACAUCAUUCAACUGUAAAUACUAGAGAGCAAACUUCAAAAUGAGGAUGUAGAACAAGAGCCACAGAAUGUUCAAUCCUGAGCAGUUUAGUGAGCAGCGACCACCAGAAGAAAUUUUAAAGGACAGAAAUGACUAAGCAACUAUUUAAUUAAGAGAUUUUUCAGGGAAGCCCAGGAAGGUGCAUGUACCUGAUCUGCUGUGAGUAGAGGAUCCUCAUUAAUACCAGAGUCAUGUUCACUCUUCUCGUUAAGUUCUUCCUCCUCCUUCUCGUGGAUCUGAAGGGAAAAAGAAAACCCAAACUGCAUGCUGAUUCAGUAGCAGCUGAGAUUGCAUAACAUUUGCUAAAGCAGAAAGAAAGACUGCUGCUGCUGCUUCUGCAGAGUGGAUGCAGAAGAUUCCCGGGACCCACCUUUUAGAGGCAACACUGAUUCUUACAAAGUGUCCGACAUAAUGUCACAUUUCCCACCAUCAUGAACCACUGACUAGAAGGCUGCUGCUGCUACUGACCCACCGAGGAUGAAAGAAACUCAUAAGGAAAGCCAGAGAACAGCACUGCAGAGACCAGCUCAAUGGGAGAUCGGUGACUCAAGGGGGCAACAGAGUUCUACUUGGUCCUAUAAAGCUGCCAACUCUGACCUGGUUCUUGGGUCAACCCAACUCAACAGACUGAGCCGCUCUUGAACAGCUGCCCCAUUGACUCACUUCCUGUCUCCAGACCACCAGCUCUGACUUACACAAGGGCUGUCCUUAAACUAAUUCAGGCUAGAAAUAUUAUGCACAUGGUUAGCAGUUGUUUCUAUAAAGCCAUGGAAAACCCUGCCAUGCACAAGAUGGAGCAAUGGCAGAAAAGCCACGGAAGAGUCAAACGGGGAGAAAACCAGCCUCAAUAAGAGCACCAAUAACCACCCACAACAAGAACCUCAAGAUGUUUAGUUACAGCUGUGAUCCACGCACUUUUCCUUGGACAUUUUAUUCAUUAUAAACCACUGGUCAUGAACCCAGUCAUGGACUCAAUCGUG